CUCAUGAUACUCCAAAGUCACUGGGAAAUAUAAGCAGAAAUUUGGCCAGAAUGCAUUGCACCCUGCAAGAAAAUGUUUAAUUUUUCUAAAACUCAAGGACUCACUGAGAGAAAAAUAAGUUAAAAAUAUAAUGAGCAGGUUCUCUCAAAAGAUAAAGUAGUCUUUCAUGUUGCCUUUGGAGCUGAUGGUGUUUGAACAUGAGAAGACUUGGCGAACCAGGGGUGAGUGAAAAACCAGAGCCGUGCUGUCACCUGAGGGUUCUAACCUCCGCGGGAAAGUGAUAAGCAAGGCCCGGAACCUGCCCAAGGAAACCCAACCUGUUUCUUUAAAUAACUUAACUGCCAUUUUUAUUAAAUCAGAGAGGGGACAAGGAUGCAGAAAGAGAAGGAGAGUAACAUCUAUGUGAAAGACAAACACCAACUGGUUGCCUUCCAUAUACACACCUACUGGAGCCAGAACCUCCAACCCAGGCAUGUCUCUUGACCAGGAAUCAACUGGGGACUUUUCAGUUUGUGGGAUGAUGUCCAACCAAACCAACUGAGUCACACUGGCUGGGGCCGAGGAAAAAUAUUUAUGUUUUCCCUCCUUUAAUUUCUAAACAGAUCUUGCAUAUUAUGAUGACACUGAAUUUGGCAUAUUGUUAGUAAUGUAACAUUGAGAUUUUUAGCAGUUAAAAACAGUUUUUGCAUACUCAAAAUUAAAUUAACAUUGGAAAAUAAAUUCUUCAACCAAUUAUAUUUUUAAAAAAGCAAAGCUAUGCCAAGCUGAUAAUAAAAGGGAAAAAAUCCACAUGGUAGCUGUUCUUCACAAAUAUUCUGACUAUACAGGGACAUAUAUUCUAAAGACAAAAAGAAUUGUAGGAAAUCUUGAACCUGACACAGUGAAUUUGUUCUUGGUAGCAGUAUUGGUGUGGUAGGUCUAAAACUAUUUUGUGUAUAUCGUAGGACUGAGGAAUUAAGUAAAUACAGGGUGGAACAAAAGUAGGUUUACAGUUAUUCAUAUGGAAAGUAAUACAAUAAUAAAUUAUAAUACAAGAAAAAGCUUUGUGUUUCCCAUACUUACAACUGUAAACCAACUCUUGCCUUACCCUGUAAAUUGACUGAUAUUGUGAAGCAUGAGGAUUCUAACUUGAGAGAAGAGAAAUCCAAAUAUGGAGUGGUAGGAGGAAAGAAUGAUGCUCGAAUGAAAUUGAUGGUAGCAGCACUGAGGUAUUCUAUUAUAUAGCUCUAACCAUACUGUACACACAUAGGUACAUGCAUAUGUAUAUGUAGGUGUAUGUGUAUGUGUGUAUUUUUUAUUAUUCACUGAAAAGGCCUAGAAAAGAUGACACUCUGGCAGCGUUGAGCAAACCUAGUGUCCAGAUCUGGGUUUUAAAACAAGGCCUCCAGGGACAGAAAAUUACGAGUUAAGCCUGAAGUAUCUGGAUGUGCUAUAGAGAACGUGCACACACUGGUGAGGACACAUCACAAAGAAACAGAAACCAACUAUGAAAGGCUUCCACUGGUCACAUUUGGUACAACUGUGGCAUCAAGUAGAUAAUGAAAGAAAGAGACUGUAAUAACAUUGAAUUGAAAAGUGUAUUCAUAAAUACAUAGAGAUUCUAAAAUUUUUUAAGGGGAGAGGGAGGAGAAGGAAACACAAAGCAAAUCAACUAAUAAAUGUAAAAGUAAUGAUAGAAAUAGAAAACCAUACUUUUACAACCACAUAAUAAUAACCAAUUCAGAUGUAAUCAUCAAUGUAUACUAAAACCACCAGGCAAAAAGUCAGGGGACAGGAAAACCACACAGUCUCAAGGCAUCAUUGUCCUAUUUAUAUGCGGAUUAUAUUUGAACUUAUAAGGGAAAAAUUUUGCUUUACACUAGAAAAAUCAUGCAGAUAGUACCUUUUUCUUAACAUCACCAGUAAGAGAACACAUUUACAACCUAUGUUUCCUUAGAAGGACACUGGGAAGGACAAAGCUUUACUUAUGUAGAUGUCCUGCCCAAAAUGCUUAAUCUCAAUUUAAUCAUGAGGAAACAGUCAAACAAAUCUAAAAUGAAGGACAUUUUGAAAAACAACUACACUGAACUUUUCGAAAAUAUCAACAUUAUGGAGAACACCACUAUUUUUUAAAAAAGCUGGAAACUCAUCAAAUUUAAAGGAAACUAAACAGAGAUGACAACUAACAGAGUGUAGUUAAUGCCGACCUCGAUCUCGGUUUGAAAAAAAU